UUUUUACUUUUACUUGAGUACAUUUGUGAAGAAGAAACGGUACUUUUACUCUGCUACAUUUGCAAAAUUCGACUCGUUAUUUUUAAAAAAAAUAAUUAGUUUAACACAUUAGAUAAUAUGCCGCCAGUGGAGUUUCCGGUAACUUUUUUACCAAUCAGAUGUGGCCAUGCAGUCACAUGACCAGUUUGAAACUGUGGCGGGCAGAGCCGCCCAAGCGUUUCAAAGUAGCGGACACACGGAAAGAAGAAACACAUGAAAACAUGGCAGAGCCAGUUGUUUACGCUAGAGCUGAAGAGGAUGAACACCCUUGGCCUCAUAUACUAACAAUGUUUCUCUUAAAAGCAGCACAAAAGAACAGCUAUGUCUUCAGUGUCGGUGUCUUCAGUCAGAGCCAAAACAAACCAACUUUUCAGCGUGAAACAACUCAACUCGUGUAACCUGAGGAAACGGUCUCCACUUCAUCAGACAUCACCUAGACACAGAGCUGGAUGAGGCCAGCACAAACAGCAGCCUAACCGACGAAGAUGA